AUCUGGGGCUUAACCCCAGACCUGCAUUCGAUACGGGCGAGCUAGAGUGUGGUAGGGGAGACUGGAAUUCCUGGUGUAGCGGUGGAAUGCGCAGAUAUCAGGAGGAACACCAAUGGCGAAGGCAGGUCUCUGGGCCAUUACUGACACUGAGGAGCGAAAGCGUGGGGAGCGAACAGGAUUAGAUACCCUGGUAGUCCACGCCGUAAACGGUGGGCACUAGUUGUGGGAACCUUCCACGGUUUCUGCGACGCAGCUAACGCAUUAAGUGCCCCGCCUGGGGAGUACGAUCGCGAGAUUAAAACUCAAAGGAAUUGACGGGGCCCCGCACAAGCAGCGGAGCAUGCGGCUUAAUUCGACGCAACGCGAAGAACCUUACCAAGGCUUGACAUAUACAGGAAUAUGGCAGAAAUGUUAUAGCCGCAAGGUCUGUAUACAGGUGGUGCAUGGUUGUCGUCAGCUCGUGUCGUGAGAUGUUGGGUUAAGUCCCGCAACGAGCGCAACCCUCGUUCUGUGUUGCCAGCAUUUAGUUGGGGACUCACAGGAGACUGCCGGGGUUAACUCGGAGGAAGGUGGGGAUGACGUCAAAUCAUCAUGCCCCUUAUGUCUUGGGCUGCACGCAUGCUACAAUGGCUGGUACAAACGGCUGCGAUACCGCAAGGUGGAGCGAAUCCGAUAAAGCCAGUCUCAGUUCGGAUUGGGGUCUGCAACUCGACCCCAUGAAGUCGGAGUUGCUAGUAAUCGUAGAUCAGCAACGCUACAGUGAAUACGUUCCCGGGGCUUGUACACACCGCCCGUCACGUCACGAAAGUCGGUAACACCCGAAGUCAGUGGCCCAACCGUAAGGGGGGAGCUGCCGAGGGUGGGAUCGGUGAUUGGGACG
rnacentral:rRNA from 1 species